GCCUGGGUGGCUCAGUCGGUUAAGCGUCUGACUUCGGCUCAGGUCACGAUCUCACACUCCGUGAGUUCGAGCCCCGUGUCAGGCU
rfam:Felis catus isolate Cinnamon breed Abyssinian chromosome D3, whole genome shotgun sequence.